GAUGAACGCUGGCGGCGUGCUUAACACAUGCAAGUCGAACGAAGCACUUCUCUUUGGUUCUUACGAUGAAGAGGUUUGUGAGUGAGUGGCGGACGGGUGAGUAACGCGUGGGUAUCCUGCCUCAUACAGUGUGAUAACAGUUAGAAAUGACUGCUAAUACCGCAUAAGACCACGGAGCCGCAUGGCUCCGUGGGACAAACUCCGGUGCGAUUAGAUGGAGCCGCGUCUGAUUAGGUAGUUGGUGGGGUAACGGCCUACCAAGCCAACGAUCAGUAGACGAGGAGAGAGACUGACCGGCCACAUUGGGAGUAAGACACGGCGCAAAAUCUUACGGGAGGCAGCAGUGGGGAAUAGUGCAAAACGGGGGAAACGAUGAUGCAGCGACGCUGGGAAAGCGAAGAAGUAUGUAGGUAAGUAAAGCUGGCUCAGCAGGGAAGAAAAUGACGGUACCUGACUAAGAAGCACCGGCUAAAUACGUG
rnacentral:rRNA from 1 species